CUACAGGCCCGGAAACGGAUCGCGUUGGGUGAAGGUGACGGCGUCGAGCCAUUGACUUCCAAAGACUCCUGGCACAUGAGGAAGAAACCCAGAAGAGGAGAGCAAAGGAGUCAGGAAUGGCUUUUACUCAGUUGACAUUCAGGGACGUGGCCAUCGAAUUCUCUCAAGAUGAGUGGAAAUGCCUGAACUCUACACAGAGGACUUUAUACAGGGAUGUGAUGUUGGAGAACUACAGGAACCUGGUCUCCCUGGAUCCAUCUGUGAUAGCCUCUCUUCUUAUCCAAGCAAAGGGCUGAGAUUCUUGAAAAGCCACAGCACAUCAUGUUCCAUUCAUUUUAUAAGCGGGAAAUUCUCUUCCUGACCAGAGUAUUAUCCUAUGUGGGAGCACAGGAAAGAGCCCUGGACCAUAGAAAGCCAAGUACGAGUAGCAAGAAAACCAAAAGGGUGGGAAUGGAUCAAAGGUGUGAAAACAGAUGGAGUUUCGCUCUUAUUGCCCAGGCUGGAGUGCAAUGGUGCAAUCUCGGCUCACUGCAACCUUCGCCUCCCGGAUUCAAAUGAUUCUCCUGCCUCA
rnacentral:lncRNA from 1 species